GCGCCUCCCAGGACGCCGGCUGAGGAGACAAGUGCAAAAUACAACACCCCCGCCAAGACGCCAGACCUCGGCCUCCCUCUGGUUUUCAUGGACGCCGGCUGAGGAGACAAGUGCAAAAUACAACACCCCCGCCAAGACGCCAGACCUCGGCCUCCCUCUGGUUUUCAUGGACGCCGGCUGAGGAGACAAGUGCAAAAUACAACACCCCCGCCAAGACGCCAGACCUCGGCCUCCCUCUGGUUUUCAUGGACGCCGGCUGAGGAGACAAGUGCAAAAUACAACACCCCCGCCAAGACGCCAGACCUCGGCCUCCCUCUGGUUUUCAUGGACGCCGGCUGAGGAGACAAGUGCAAAAUACAACACCCCCGCCAAGACGCCAGACCUCGGCCUCCCUCUGGUUUUCAUGGACGCCGGCUGAGGAGACAAGUGCAAAAUACAACACCCCCGCCAAGACGCCAGACCUCGGCCUCCCUCUGGUUUUCAUGGACGCCGGCUGAGGAGACAAGUGCAAAAUACAACACCCCCGCCAAGACGCCAGACCUCGGCCUCCCUCUGGUUUUCAUGGACGCCGGCUGAGGAGACAAGUGCAAAAUACAACACCCCCGCCAAGACGCCAGACCUCGGCCUCCCUCUGGUUUUCAUGGACGCCGGUUGAGGAGACAAGUGCAAAAUACAACACCCCCGCCAAGACGCCAGACCUCGGCCUCCCUCUGGUUUCAUGGAUACUGAAGUCUCACUCAUGACGUAUGUGAGAUGGCCAUUGUGAAAGCACUACCAACUUGCAAUGAGAUGUGUGUAUUAGAUGUGAUGGGAGUAUGAGAUGCGUUGGGUGUAUGAGAUGUGAUGGCUGUAUGAGAUACAUAUAUUUCGUCGGCGUCUCCUCGAAAACGAUCAGCGCCGGGUCCUGUACAUGUUUGGCGGCGGUGGAUCAAUGCAUCGGCGUGCGCGUGAUACCUAUAUGAUGUUUGUAUGAGAUGUGAUGGGUAUAGGUAAACUGGACGUCAUACCCGAUGGAU